AAAGCUUUUUCCUGAGGAAAUUCAUAUGGUUUGCUGUCAUUGUAGGGCGUUGUAACGCACCUAUGAACUUCAACUCCUUAAAAAUGUAUCAUUUAUUUGUUUUUGCAAACAAAUAAUUUGUUGAGGCCUACAAAACCCAGGAUUUUUCUGAUAAAGGAAACUGAAAAGGCAACAGUAAGCCAGUCCUACAAAGCUUACAUAUUUACCAAAAGGCUUGUAUGGAAACUACAUUCUGAAUGACUACGGAGAAUAAGGUACCUGAAUCAGAGUUUGAGGGAAGUGUCUCGAUCUAUUUGGGAUUUGGAGAUGUUAUUGAUCCAAAGCACCAGCUAGAGUGCCAGUACAAGUUGUACUCUGGCGUGUGAGUGUCUUCUGCAAGGCUGGAGUCCUGCCAGGCUCCCCUGAACUUAUCUUCUGCAAACUUUUCCCCUUUGUGGCCUGAGGCUGACGGCUCUGCCCGGCUCCCUGAAGUAGCUGGGUGCUUUUCCAGAAGAGAUCUGACACACUGUGGACUCACCUUUAGCUUUGGCUGAGGGCAGAGAUGCUGCUAUGACUGGCUGAAUAUUUGAGAAGCCAAGCAGGCUGGAACUGCCGUUUUGGUACUUACGUAAGG
rnacentral:lncRNA from 1 species